rnacentral:rRNA from 1 species
CAUAGAAUGCGAGUCGAGCGGAAGUCGCUUUUAUCUAAACUAAUAUNGAUUUANAUUUAUCUAUUGAAGUAGAGGCAGANAUAAANCAAUGGCUUUAGUGGCGGACUGGGUGAGUAACACGUGAACAAUCCUACCUAUUAGAGUGGAACAACAAUGAGAAAUCAUUGCUAAUACCGCAUACUCUAGUAAUAUCGCAUGAUAAUACUAGGAAAGGAGAAAUCCCGCUAAUAGAUGAGUUCGCGCCCUGAUUAGCUAGUUGGUAUGGUAAUGGCAUACCAAGGCAACGAUCAGUAGCCGAGUUGAGAGACUGAACGGCCACAUUGGGACUGAGAUACGGCCCAGACUCCUACGGGAGGCAGCAGUCGGGAAUAUUGCGCAAUGGAGGAAACUCUGACGCAGUGACGCCGCGUAUAGGAAGAAGGUUUUCGGAUUGUAAACUAUUGUCGUUAGGGAAGAAAAAAGACAGUACCUAAGGAGGAAGCUCCGGCUAACUAUGUGCCAGCAGCCGCGGUAAUACAUAGGGAGCAAGCGUUAUCCGGAAUUAUUGGGUGUAAAGGGUGCGUAGAUGGGACUGCCAAGUUAGUUGUGAAAUCCCUCGGCUUAACUGAGGAAUUGCAACUAAAACUAUAGUUCUUGAGUGCAGGAGAGGUAAGUGGAAUUCCCUAGUGUAGCGGUGAAAUGCGUAGAUAUUAGGAGGAACACCAGUGGCCGAANGCNACUUACUGGACUGUAACUGACNUUGAGGCNCCGAAAGUGUGGGGAGCAAACCGGAUUAGAUACCCCUGGUAGUCCACCCUGUAAACGAUGGAUNCNAGGUGUAGGGAGGGAUUCCCNUUCUGUGCCNAAAAGCAAACCCCNAUANGUAUCCCCCCCUGGGGGAGU